rnacentral:rRNA from 1 species
GUCUUUUUGAUUAUAAUUUAAAGUCUGACCUGCCCAAUGAGUAUUUAAAUGGCCGCGGUAAUUUGACCGUGCAAAGGUAGCAUAAUCAUUAGUUUUUUAAUUGAAAGCUGGAAUGAAUGGUUGGACGAGAAAAUAGCUGUCUCAAUUUAAUUGAAUAUAGAAUUUUAUUUAUAAGUAAAAAAGCUUAUAUGAGUUUAAAAGACGAGAAGACCCUAUAGAAUUUUAUACGUUGAUUUUUUAAUAUUUUUUAGUAGCAAUAAAUAUUAAUAGAUUAAAGUAUUUUGUUGGGGUGACAGAAAAAUUGAAGUAACUUUUUUUAUUAAAAAAUCAUUAAUUAAUGAAUAAGUGAUCCGUUUAUUACGAUUAUAAGAUUAAAUUACCUUAGGGAUAACAGCGUAAUUUUUUUUAAGAGUUCUUAUCGAAAGAAGAGUUUGCGACCUCGAUGUUGGAUUAAAAUUAACUUUUGGUGUAGGGGCUAAAAAGUUAGGUCUGUUCGACCUUUAAAAUUUUACAUGAUCUGAGU